GGAGAGGUGGCCGAGUCGGUCGAAGGCGCUCGCCUGCUAAGCGAGUGUACCCCUAAAAAGGGUACCGCGGGUUCGAAUCCCGCCCUCUCCGCCA
rnacentral:tRNA from 1 species